rnacentral:rRNA from 1 species
UACAGAGGGGGCAAGCGUUGUUCGGAAUUACUGGGCGUAAAGCGUGCGCAGGCGGUUUCGUAAGUCUGUCGUGAAAUCCCCGGGCUUAACCUGGGAAUUGCGAUGGAGACUGCGAGGCUAGAGUUUGGCAGAGGGGGGUAGAAUUCCACGUGUAGCAGUGAAAUGCGUAGAGAUGUGGAGGAACACCGAUGGCGAAGGCAGCCCCCUGGGUCAAAACUGACGCUCAUGCACGAAAGCGUGGGGAGCAAACAGG